UACGUAGGGGGCAAGCGUUGUCCGGAUUUAUUGGGCGUAAAGAGCGUGUAGGCGGCCACACAGGUCUGCUGUGAAAACUCGAGGCUCAACCUCGAGCUGUCGGUGGAAACCGUGUGGCUAGAGUCCGGAAGAGGAGAGUGGAAUUCCCGGUGUAGCGGUGAAAUGCGCAGAUAUCGGGAAGAACACCCGUGGCGAAGGCGGCUCUCUGGGACGGUACUGACGCUGAGGCGCGAAAGUGUGGGGAGCAAACGGG
rnacentral:rRNA from 1 species